AAAUAAAUUUUCUCGGUGUCUAAUGAUGAGUUUCAUAGGGCAGAUUCUGAGGUGAAAAUCUGAUUCACCAUUGAUACUCAUUCUAUGGAAUCUGAAGACACUUGAAAACCU